rnacentral:rRNA from 1 species
UACGUAGGGUGCGAGCGUUGUCCGGAAUUACUGGGCGUAAAGAGCUCGUAGGUGGUUUGUCGCGUUGUUCGUGAAAACUCACAGCUUAACUGUGGGCGUGCGGGCGAUACGGGCAGACUUGAGUACUGCAGGGGAGACUGGAAUUCCUGGUGUAGCGGUAGAAUGCGCAGAUAUCAGGAGGAACACCGGUGGCGAAGGCGGGUCUCUGGGCAGUAACUGACGCUGAGGAGCGAAAGCGUGGGGAGCGAACAGG